AACGAACGCUGGCGGCAGGCCUAACACAUGCAAGUCGAACGCUGUAGCAAUACAGAGUGGCAGACGGGUGAGUAACGCGUGGGAACAUGCCCUUUGGUUCGGAAUAACUCAGGGAAACUUGAGCUAAUACCGGAUACGCCCUUAGGGGGAAAGAUUUAUUGCCGAAGGAUUGGCCCGCGUCCGAUUAGCUAGUUGGUGAGGUAACGGCUCACCAAGGCGACGAUCGGUAGCUGGUCUGAGAGGAUGAUCAGCCACACUGGGACUGAGACACGGCCCAGACUCCUACGGGAGGCAGCAGUGGGGAAUAUUGCACAAUGGGCGCAAGCCUGAUGCAGCAACGCCGCGUGAGGGAUGACGGCCUUCGGGUUGUGAAGCUCUUUUGCCAGGGACGAUAAUGACGGUACCUGGAGAAUAAGCCCCGGCAAACUUCGUGCCAGCCGCCGCCGUAAUAC
rnacentral:rRNA from 1 species